UUGACUUCUGCUCCCAGAGC
rnacentral:miRNA from 1 species